AACGAUGAUAACUCGCUGUCGGCGAUACACAGUCGGUGGCCAAGCGAAAGCGAUAAGUUAUCCACCUGGGGAGUACGACCGCAAGGUUGAAACUCAAAGGAAUUGACGGGGGCCCGCACAAGCGGAGGAACAUGUGGUUUAAUUCGAUGAUACGCGAGGAACCUUACCCGGGCUCGAACGGUGCAUGAAUGAUUCAGAGAUGGAUUAGUCCUUCGGGACAUGUAUCGAGGUGCUGCAUGGUUGUCGUCAGCUCGUGCCGUGAGGUGUCGGCUUAAGUGCCAUAACGAGCGCAACCCUUGUCGUUAGUUGCCAUCAGGUAAUGCUGGGAACUCUAGCGAGACUGCCACCGUAAGGUGCGAGGAAGGGGGGGAUGACGUCAAAUCAGCACGGCCCUUACGUCCGGGGCGACACACGUGUUACAAUGGCAGGUACAGAGGGCAGCUACCCAGCGAUGGGGUGCGAAUCUCGAAAGCCUGUCUCAGUUCGGAUCGGAGUCUGCAACUCGACUCCGUGAAGUUGGAUUCGCUAGUAAUCGCGCAUCAGCCAUGGCGCGGUGAAUACGUUCCCGGGCCUUGUACACACCGCCCGUCAAGCCAUGGAAGCUGGGGGUGCCUGAAGUUCGUUACCGCAAGGAGCGACCUAGGGCAAAACUGGUAACUGGGGCUAAGUCGUAACAAGGUAGCCGUACCGGAAGGUGUGGCUGGAUCACCUCCUU
rnacentral:rRNA from 1 species